ACAGGAUUCCCCUAGUAACUGCGAGUGAAGCGGGAAAAGCUCAAAUUUAAAAUCUGGCGGUCUCUGGCCGUCCGAGUUGUAAUCUAGAGAAGUAAUGCCCGUGCUGGACCGUGUAUAAGUCUCCUGGGAUGGGGCGUCAUAGAGGGUGAGAAUCCCGUCUUUGACACGGACUACCAGUGCAUUGUGGUAUGCUCUCAAAGAGUCGAGUUGUUUGGGAAUGCAGCUCAAAAUGGGUGGUAAAUUCCAUCUAAAGCUAAAUAUUGGCGAGAGACCGAUAGCGAACAAGUACCGUGAGGGAAAGAUGAAAAGAACUUUGGAAAGAGAGUUAAACAGUACGUGAAAUUGCUGAAAGGGAAACGCUUGAAGUCAGUCGCGUUGGCCGGGGAUCAGCCUUGCUUUUGCAUGGUGUACUUUCUGGUUGACGGGUCAGCAUCAAUUUUGACCACUGGAAAAAGACCUGGGGAAUGUGGCAGCUUCGGCUGUGUUAUAGCCCCUAGUCGCAUACAGUGGUUGGGAUUGAGGAACUCAGCACGCCGCAAGGCCGGGUUUCGACCACGUUCGUGCUUAGGAUGCUGGCAUAAUGGCUUUAAGCGACCCGUCUUGAAACACGGACCAAGGAGUCUAACAUGCCUGCGAGUAUUUGGGUGGAAAACCCAAGUGCGUAAUGAAAGUGAAAGUUGAGAUCCCUGUCGUGGGGAGCAUCGACGCCCGGACCAGAACUUUUGGGACGGAUCCGCGGUGGAGCAUGUAUGUUGGGACCCGAAAGAUGGUGAACUAUGCCUGAAUAGGGUGAAGCCAGAGGAAACUCUGGUGGAGGCUCGUAGCGAUUCUGACGUGCAAAUCGAUCGUCAAAUUUGGGUAUAGGGGCGAAAGACUAAUCGAACCAUCUAGUAGCU
rnacentral:rRNA from 1 species